rnacentral:rRNA from 1 species
UACGUAGGGUGCAAGCGUUAAUCGGAAUUACUGGGCGUAAAGCGUGCGCAGGCGGUUAUGUAAGACAGGUGUGAAAUCCCCGGGCUCAACCUGGGAACUGCAUUUGUGACUGCAUCGCUGGAGUGCGGCAGAGGGGGAUGGAAUUCCGCGUGUAGCAGUGAAAUGCGUAGAUAUGCGGAGGAACACCGAUGGCGAAGGCAAUCCCCUGGGCCUGCACUGACGCUCAUGCACGAAAGCGUGGGGAGCAAACAGG